rnacentral:rRNA from 1 species
CUAGACCUGAAAUCAGUCGAGGAUACCCGCUGAAUUUAAGCAUAUUAUUAAGCGGAGGAAAAGAAAAUAACUAUGAUUCCCUCAGUAACGGCGAGUGAAGAGGGAGGUGCUCAAAGUGAAAAUCGUGGUACCUCUUAUGGUACCGCGAGUUGUAGCCUCUAGAGGCGUUACCAGUGGAGGGGCAGGUCUAAGUUUCUGGAC